rnacentral:RNase_P_RNA from 1 species
GGAGUAGGCUGGGCGAUCGCCGGUUCGCUGUUUUGAACGGGAGGAAAGUCCGGGCUCCACAGGACAGGAUGCCGGGUAACACCCGGCGGGGGCGACCCCAGGGAGAGUGCCACAGAAAGCAAACCGCCAGCCGGAUGGUAUGGAGUUGAUCGGUACCAUUGCUGGUAAGGGCGAAACGGUGCGGCAAGAGCGCACCGCGCUUGCGGUAACGGAAGCGGCAGGGAAAACCCCAUCCGGAGCAAGACCAAAUAGGGGGGCGUCAAAGACGGUUCGUCCAGUCCCCGGGUCGGUCGCUAGAGUUGUGCGGUAACGUACACCCCAGAGGAAUGAUCGCCAGCCCGACGCUUGGCAAGGUGUUGGGAGACAGAACCCGGCUUACAGGCCUACUCCGGUU